rnacentral:rRNA from 1 species
UUGGAGGGCAAGUCUGGUGCCAGCAGCCGCGGUAAUUCCAGCUCCAAUAGCGUAUAUUAAAGUUGUUGCAGUUAAAAAGCUCGUAGUUGAACUUCAGACCUGGCCGGGCGGUCCGCCUAACGGUGUGUACUGUCUGGCUGGGCCUUACCUCUUGGUGAGCCGGCAUGCCCUUCACUGGGUGCGUCGGGGAACCAGGACCUUUACCUUGAGAAAAUUAGAGUGUUCAAAGCAGGCUUACGCCGGAAUACAUUAGCAUGGAAUAAUAAAAUAGGA